rnacentral:lncRNA from 1 species
UGCUGUUAAGCCGUGAGGAAGCAGGGCAAAUCAUCCCUGUAGUCUUCUCUCUUCUCUUUCCAUUGUUUGCUUUCUUGAAAAGAAGAAAGCAUGGCCAUCUAAGAGUCCUCAGGGCUGCCCUUCUGCCCUUCCCCCACAACUCCUGUGACUGCCUCUUAAAUGGGUACUCAGGGUGAUAAGGAGGCACAGGUGAGGGAGCCAGGCUGGAUCCACACCCACCCACGCCCAUUGUUAGGAAAACAAGCUUUUAAUGCCAGGUUCUGCUGCUGGCCCCUGAGAGUAUAAAAUGGGACCCAGAGCCAGCCUCUCUCUUCCUCUAAGGCACAUCAAGGCAAUAGUGUUUAAAAGGAGAGGAGGCAGUGGCAUGCAGGCUCCAGAGACUGAGCCAUUCCUAUGGCAAAAGGGAGGCAGUGGGGCCCCCUGCUGAGGGCCAUCUGGCAGGUGUUCCAUUCUACCUUCCUCAUGGGACUCACAGCCUCUUCAUCAGUGAUGUCUUCAGCUUCACUGUCCCCAAGCUGCUUAGCUCCUGGGUCCCUCCGCCAUCACUGUCUUCCUGAGCUGCCGCCUCCUGAAUUUCUUCAUCACCAAGAAGAGGAAUGGGACAGACCAGGCAGGAAGCAGGGAGGAAGACACAGGUCCUGGCAUAGGCGAUGAGGAGGGCAGAGCUGUGUGGGAGCCGGUGGGUCUGGCUUUGUUCUUGUCUCUGUGAGUUGCCCAUUGUGCAGACCUGCCUUGCUCCUUCCCCAUCGUAUUCGACGGUGGCUCUUCCCUACAGUGUUCAGACCCCAGGACCUGGGUCGGAUCAAUGCCUUUUUCUCCUGCACCCCAUCAGUCAGCAGAUUUGCUUGGCGUCAUCUUGAAAAUGCAUCCAGCAGCAAGGCCCUGGCUCACUCCUUACUUCUGCCCCAGCCUCUCUCCACUUCCAGCCACAGGAGACCUGUGUGAGCUGAAUCCAUUGCACCCUCCUCUGCUCAGACCCACGGUGGCCCCAUUUUCCUCAGUCUGAGCCAAAGGCCCCACAGUGGCCCACCUGGUCCGCCCUAUGCUGCCUCAUUGCCUCCAGC